GAAUCUUGUGAUGAGUCCAUCGUCACCAAAACAGUUAUCCCUGGCUGAAUUCCAGUGGAAUUGUGUUGAUAAAUCUGGAUUUACUGACAGAUUC
rnacentral:snoRNA from 1 species